AAAAACACACACUGGAUCCGCCAGAUCACGCAGUAGACAGAACAUUCCAAUCCACCUGUUGGCCACUAGAGGGAGCAAUUUUCAAAGGGCCCGGGAGGAUUUUUUGUGCUGUUUUGGAUAGUUGUAAAGUAAGAACCCCCCCAAGGGCUUCACUCCUGAUUUCCGUCCAUCCCGCUGGCGCAAGAUCAGAUUCCUACGAGAGCGCGUGCGUCAGCAGCAUCGUAGUAGAAAUAGUGCCAGUCCCUGCAGUCUGAAGAGCACCGCACAGCACGCCGAGACACUACUGCUGUCUUCAACAGCCACAGGCUCGACUUUACUACUUCUCAAGACUUUAUCGCAGAGGAACGUUGUGGAGAAAACAGCAUGUCCUCUCCUACCAAGAAAUGUGUUCUCCAGCUUAAAGAUGGGAAAUUUGUCGCAGUCCGGAUGGAAUCGACAGUACCGAAGCUGUGUGCUGUUGAACAUCAAAACAAUGGACCUGUGGUAGACAUAUGGGAAAAGGAGAAUGGGAACGCAAUGGCAUUACGUUUCCAGCAUGAGAAUAAUUACUAUUUGCCAAAAGUGAAUGAGAACGGAGACCUACAGCUGGAGAUGGCUGAAAUUCCGAAUGAUACAUCUGAUGGUUACUGGUUUCAGAAGAAAGAUGUGGGAGGCGGUGAUCAUUACUACCUUCAAUCUGUGUUCAACAAGAAACACCUAAUCAAACAAAACGUACAAAGAAAAGUAAUUUUCAUCCUCGGUGACUUGGGGGGAGGGCGUUGAGGUAACAGAUGUAUCCAUCACCGACUCAGAUUAACUGUCUACCACAUAACUCAAGAUUUCCGUGUUUCCUCUACACUCUACCAGGUUCUGGGCCAAGCAGCUGUGCAGUUAUUUAGAUAAUUUUUUCUUCUUGGGUGACUAAGUGUCCUUUUUGUUAAACGUAACAGAAAUGUGAAGUUGGGGAUUUGGAAAAGUGAAGUUGGGAUUUUGGAAAAGACAGAUAAUUAAUUGAAGCAGCAGUUACUAAGAUGUCCUGAUUUUUUUUAUCCCGGGACAAACUCCCAUAUCCUAAACUUCCUAUACUGUCAUUUUAUAGUGUGUUUUUGUUAAACCUUUGCUGCUGGUACAUUCCAUUAAACCUGUCUUUUAAACUCUACAGGCCCUAAGCCUAAUAUACAAUUGUUUUCAAAGCCUGAAUAUACUCUGCAUGACUAAGUGAUCUUUAUGUGUAAAAUUAGAAGUUUCCCUUUUAAUGUGAUAAUUUUCCUCAAAUUCUUAUGAUGUGUUGGUAUUUAAGUGGGGACGGGGGUAUUUAAUGUUUUAUGACUACUGUAUGUCUGUGAAGCCAGAAUUUCUUCUCACCUAAAGUUAUUUGGUUAACUAGAGUUACUGAAACAGGCUGUUGGGGUUAAUUUCCUAUUCAUGACCCAUUACACUGAAUGGCAGUAAAGCUGACCUCGUUUGAGUAAGAGUAGUAGCUAAAUAGUCAAUAUUAUUCAUUUUUCAGCAGCAGCACUUAAGCAGUUAUAUCAAAAAGUUGGAUCAACACUUGAAUUAACUUUCCCAGCAUUUAGAUAACACCUGCAACUGUUAAACUGACCCAAACUGAAGACAAUUAAUGUUUUCAACAACACCCCCCUUUUUUAGGUUUAAUGUGUGGAAAGGGUCUUGCUUGGCGUUGGGAAAGAAAAGCUUUAUAUACUGUAUUGUUUGUCAUUUUUA